GAUUGGUUGAGGCGUCCUAGUUUUCGAGAUGUUAACGUGAAAAAACGUGCAUCUUAGAACUGAAGGAAGCGGGGCUUCUUGGCGCUUCUGAAGGGAGAAAGCUGCACGAGGAUGGCGCCAGGAAUGCUCGCACCUCCUACCGGGGUGGCCUGCGUAAGACGGGGCGGUCUCUGUGCGGGUGUGCGGGUGUGAGCCACGGUACCCAGGGCCAGAUCGCAGAAGUGAAGCUGGGAGGCUGGCCUGCAGACUGGGAUAUUACCAAAUCACUCUUGGUGACCGAGCUGGGCUGUUGCAGAACAUCAUAAAUUGUAAGAACUAUUCUUUCCAAUACGGAAAAGCUUUCUUGCAUUCCUAUUCACGGUUAUGGAGGCUGAGAAGUCCAAGGUCGAGGGGCUGCAUUAGAUUGGUUCAACUUAUCUCAAUCAACAUUCAAACUGAAGUUAGGAGGAAUACCUUACUUGAAAGGUUAUUUUUUCAAUCUGCCAUUUUUGAAUACUAUUUUUGAGGAUCCAGAGUGUUGGAACAGCAGCUACUAAUAUGUGCAUUGUGGCAAGUGGAGGAGCAGAGGCAUUUUAUGAAAUGGGAAUUCACUGCUGGGAUAUUGCAGUAGCUGCCAUUAUUGUUACUGAAGCUGGUGGCGUGCUAAUGGAUGUUACUGGUGGACCAUUCGAUUUAAUGUCACGAAGAAUAAUUGCUGCAAGUUGUACAGCAUUAGCAGAAAGGAUAGCCAAAGAAAUUCAGGUAGCACCUUUUCAAUGAGAUGAUGAAGAUUAAUUACAGCAGCCUCAUAGUCAAUCACAGUUGCUUUUCCCCAGAUUUGCUGACUCACUGUGGAUCUGUGUUUCAGAUGUAUUAUAUGCUUAGUUUAAAUUGUCUUUGUCCAGAUUAAGAAUUUUGAACUUGUUUCAUAUUUUACUAUGGCUAGGUUUGCAAGAAUAGACAUAAUGUUUACUUCAUUGUUUAAAAAAAUUGCAUGUAAGAGCUUUAGGAAAAAUACACAAAAAGUAUAGUUGAUGAAAUAAGUAUAACAUCAACUGAAACAGUUAGCAAUUUUGCAUUUCUGAGUAUCAAUGGUCUGAAAUUUUGACUUGCUAUAUAUAUGUAUGCCUAGACACUCGCUUAGAAAGUUACCUAUUUGGAAAAAAAAAUUGUUUGGUUUCAAAAGCCAUAUUUAAAUUUGUAAGGAUAUAUUGAGUACUUCCUAGACCAAGGAUUUUUUCUUUGCAGAGAAACUUUUUUGUUUUAUUCAGUGUUCAUAUAACACCUAGCACCGUGCUUGUCAGUUAGCAAUCAAAAUUAAACAUUGUAAGAAUGAAUAUUUUGAAGUCAUCAAUUCCUAGUUAUUAUAUAGAGUAGAUACAUAAUGAGCUCACCAUUCUGUACUUUUGCUGUAUUUUUCAUGAUGAUGUAAUUUUGAAGUAAAAACAGUCUAGUUAUCUUUUGUAAAUUUUACAUUAACAUACUGCCAGAUAGAGUUGCUUAUUGUAGGCAUUUCUGCAAUAAAUAUAUUUUCCAAAGCACUU